UUAAGCGACUAAGCGUACACGGUGGAUGCCCUGGCAGUCAGAGGCGAUGAAGGACGUGCUAAUCUGCGAUAAGCGUCGGUGAGGUGAUAUGAACCGUUAUAACCGGCGAUUUCCGAAUGGGGAAACCCAGUGUGUUUCGACACACUAUCAUUAACUGAAUCCAUAGGUUAAUGAGGCGAACCGGGGGAACUGAAACAUCUAAGUACCCCGAGGAAAAGAAAUCAACCGAGAUUCCCCCAGUAGCGGCGAGCGAACGGGGAGGAGCCCAGAGCCUGAAUCAGUGUGUGUGUUAGUGGAAGCGUCUGGAAAGGCGCGCGAUACAGGGUGACAGCCCCGUACACAAAAAUGCACAUACUGUGAGCUCGAUGAGUAGGGCGGGACACGUGGUAUCCUGUCUGAAUAUGGGGGGACCAUCCUCCAAGGCUAAAUACUCCUGACUGACCGAUAGUGAACCAGUACCGUGAGGGAAAGGCGAAAAGAACCCCGGCGAGGGGAGUGAAAAAGAACCUGAAACCGUGUACGUACAAGCAGUGGGAGCCUCUUAAUGGGGUGACUGCGUACCUUUUGUAUAAUGGGUCAGCGACUUAUAUUCUGUAGCAAGGUUAACCGAAUAGGGGAGCCGAAGGGAAACCGAGUCUUAACUGGGCGUUAAGUUGCAGGGUAUAGACCCGAAACCCGGUGAUCUAGCCAUGGGCAGGUUGAAGGUUGGGUAACACUAACUGGAGGACCGAACCGACUAAUGUUGAAAAAUUAGCGGAUGACUUGUGGCUGGGGGUGAAAGGCCAAUCAAACCGGGAGAUAGCUGGUUCUCCCCGAAAGCUAUUUAGGUAGCGCCUCGUGAAUUCAUCUCCGGGGGUAGAGCACUGUUUCGGCAAGGGGGUCAUCCCGACUUACCAACCCGAUGCAAACUGCGAAUACCGGAGAAUGUUAUCACGGGAGACACACGGCGGGUGCUAACGUCCGUCGUGAAGAGGGAAACAACCCAGACCGCCAGCUAAGGUCCCAAAGUCAUGGUUAAGUGGGAAACGAUGUGGGAAGGCCCAGACAGCCAGGAUGUUGGCUUAGAAGCAGCCAUCAUUUAAAGAAAGCGUAAUAGCUCACUGGUCGAGUCGGCCUGCGCGGAAGAUGUAACGGGGCUAAACCAUGCACCGAAGCUGCGGCAGCGACACUAUGUGUUGUUGGGUAGGGGAGCGUUCUGUAAGCCUGUGAAGGUAGCCUGUGAGGGUUGCUGGAGGUAUCAGAAGUGCGAAUGCUGACAUAAGUAACGAUAAAGCGGGUGAAAAGCCCGCUCGCCGGAAGACCAAGGGUUCCUGUCCAACGUUAAUCGGGGCAGGGUGAGUCGAUCCCUAAGGCGAGGCCGAAAGGCGUAGUCGAUGGGAAACAGGUUAAUAUUCCUGUACUUGGUGUUACUGCGAAGGGGGGACGGAGAAGGCUAUGUUGGCCGGGCGACGGUUGUCCCGGUUUAAGCGUGUAGGCUGGUUUUCCAGGCAAAUCCGGAAAAUCAAGGCUGAGGCGUGAUGACGAGGCACUACGGUGCUGAAGUGACAAAUGCCCUGCUUCCAGGAAAAGCCUCUAAGCAUCAGGUAACAUCAAAUCGUACCCCAAACCGACACAGGUGGUCAGGUAGAGAAUACCAAGGCGCUUGAGAGAACUCGGGUGAAGGAACUAGGCAAAAUGGUGCCGUAACUUCGGGAGAAGGCACGCUGAUAUGUAGGUGAAGCGACUUGCUCGUGGAGCUGAAAUCAGUCGAAGAUACCAGCUGGCUGCAACUGUUUAUUAAAAACACAGCACUGUGCAAACACGAAAGUGGACGUAUACGGUGUGACGCCUGCCCGGUGCCGGAAGGUUAAUUGAUGGGGUUAGCGGUAACGCGAAGCUCUUGAUCGAAGCCCCGGUAAACGGCGGCCGUAACUAUAACGGUCCUAAGGUAGCGAAAUUCCUUGUCGGGUAAGUUCCGACCUGCACGAAUGGCGUAAUGAUGGCCAGGCUGUCUCCACCCGAGACUCAGUGAAAUUGAACUCGCUGUGAAGAUGCAGUGUACCCGCGGCAAGACGGAAAGACCCCGUGAACCUUUACUAUAGCUUGACACUGAACAUUGAGCCUUGAUGUGUAGGAUAGGUGGGAGGCUUUGAAGUGUGGACGCCAGUCUGCAUGGAGCCGACCUUGAAAUACCACCCUUUAAUGUUUGAUGUUCUAACGUUGGCCCGUAAUCCGGGUUGCGGACAGUGUCUGGUGGGUAGUUUGACUGGGGCGGUCUCCUCCUAAAGAGUAACGGAGGAGCACGAAGGUUGGCUAAUCCUGGUCGGACAUCAGGAGGUUAGUGCAAUGGCAUAAGCCAGCUUGACUGCGAGCGUGACGGCGCGAGCAGGUGCGAAAGCAGGUCAUAGUGAUCCGGUGGUUCUGAAUGGAAGGGCCAUCGCUCAACGGAUAAAAGGUACUCCGGGGAUAACAGGCUGAUACCGCCCAAGAGUUCAUAUCGACGGCGGUGUUUGGCACCUCGAUGUCGGCUCAUCACAUCCUGGGGCUGAAGUAGGUCCCAAGGGUAUGGCUGUUCGCCAUUUAAAGUGGUACGCGAGCUGGGUUUAGAACGUCGUGAGACAGUUCGGUCCCUAUCUGCCGUGGGCGCUGGAGAACUGAGGGGGGCUGCUCCUAGUACGAGAGGACCGGAGUGGACGCAUCACUGGUGUUCGGGUUGUCAUGCCAAUGGCACUGCCCGGUAGCUAAAUGCGGAAGAGAUAAGUGCUGAAAGCAUCUAAGCACGAAACUUGCCCCGAGAUGAGUUCUCCCUGACUCCUUGAGAGUCCUGAAGGAACGUUGAAGACGACGACGUUGAUAGGCCGGGUGUGUAAGCGCAGCGAUGCGUUGAGCUAACCGGUACUAAUGAACCGUGAGGCUUAACCUU
rnacentral:rRNA from 2 species